GGCCCGUGCGCUCCGCCCGCCUGUGGCGUCCUCGCGCAGCGCGCUUCGCGCCCGGGUCCCCGCGCUGUCUCCUCGCGCCCGUGGGACGCCAGGCGCUCCUUCGGCUCCUGCCGCCCGUGCUGGCCGCGCUGGGCGGCCUCGGGGGCUCCGCGACAGAUGAAAUACAGUGUCAGAUGACAAGGCAAGCUGCAUGUGGUGGGAGAUGCAUUCCUGUGGCCUGGCUCUGCAACGGAGAGCAGGAGUGCCCGGAUGGGGCAGACGAGCAGUGUGCUUUGCAGGUGCGAAAUCUUCAUCAAGCGCUAAGCACUGAAGAAACAGUUGUAAGGCAUCACCUAAAAAACCAGCAUCAUGGAGGACUUUUCCUUUCCUGAAGUAGACCUUCAAUAAAAGCACAUACACACGA